rnacentral:rRNA from 1 species
GUCCACGCCGUAAACGAUUGGUGCUAGACGUUGGCGAGCUUGCUCGUCAGUGUCGCAGCUAACGCGUUAAGCACCCCGCCUGGUGAGUACGGCCGCAAGGUUGAAACUCAAAGGAAUUGACGGGGGCCCCGCACAAGCGGUGGAGCAUGUGGUUCAAUUCGACGCAACGCGCAGAACCUUACCAGCCCUUGACAUGUGACUCGCCGGUACCAGAGAUGGUACCUUCGGUUCGGCCGGAGUCAGCACAGGUGCUGCAUGGCUGUCGU